GACGAACGCUGGCGGCGUGCUUAACACAUGCAAGUCGAACGGAAAGGCCCUGCUUUUGUGGGGUGCUCGAGUGGCGAACGGGUGAGUAACACGUGAGUAACCUGCCCUUGACUUUUGGAUAACUUCAGGAAACUGGGGCUAAUACCGGAUAGGAGCUCCUGCUGCAUGGUGGGGGUUGGAAAGUUUCGGCGGUUGGGGAUGGACUCGCGGCUUAUCAGCUUGUUGGUGGGGUAGUGGCUUACCAAGGCUUUGACGGGUAGCCGGUCUGAGAGGGUGACCGGCCACAUUGGGACUGAGAUACGGCCCAGACUCCUACGGGAGGCAGCAGUGGGGAAUAUUGCACAAUGGGCGGAAGCCUGAUGCAGCAACGCCGCGUGCGGGAUGACGGCCUUCGGGUUGUAAACCGCUUUCGCCUGUGACGAAGCGUGAGUGACGGUAAUGGGUAAAGAAGCACCGGCUAACUACGUG
rnacentral:rRNA from 1 species